rnacentral:misc_RNA from 1 species
AAAAUUAAAAAAAAAUAAUAAAAUAAAAUCAGUUCAAAAGUCACCGUACCAAGACAGCAGCAUACAUGAAUGAAGUAUUAUAAAGAACUCAGUCCCUUAAAUAUUCAUAAAGUGUUGCGAAUCAUUACAAGUUAUGUUUGUAAGGGCUCAGUAGUUAAAAACACAGGUUUUUAAUACACAAUUUUUAUGUGUAUCAAAAUAUUUUAUAAUUUUCUCAAAAUUAAAGUCCAUUAAUCUAACUUUUGAAGAAUCAAAAAGGCUAUCAGUAAAAAUCUAAAUUAGUAAUCAUUAUUAUUUGUCCUUGCAAGAGACAAAU